CCCACACCCCCGCCCCCUGCCCUUCCCGAGGGCAGCAGCCGCGGCCCGGAGAUAAGCGCUAGCGCGGCGCAGGGCUCUGCCUGGGCUAGUGGCACCGACUUGGAGUGGAUCUUCAGCUGCCUGGGCCUUCUAAGUGUGAGGACUCGCUUAUAGUAGCCGCAGAAGGCUGUGCAUGAUCCCGCCCCUCCCCUCCUCCCCUGCAGGGACCUGGUGAGAACGUAAGGCCCUCAGUUAGGGGGCCUGCUCAUUGGGGGUGUCCAAAUCAGAAGGGCAAUAAAAGAGGAGGAGACCUAAUCCCUUGGAAGUGAGCCGUGGCCUAUGCUAGGGGCAGUAUUCCAACAAAGUUCUGUUUGUGGUAGAGCUGGGAAAGAACCUCUCUGUCAACUGUCCCAACUCUGACCUAAGCCACAAGCUGGAAAGUGAGAACCCAAAGUGAAAAAACCUGCUUCUCUUGGGUAUGUGGGUGGGGGAUAGGACCAAAGGCUGGUACCCAAAAAGCACUCUCCAUUUCCCCAAGAAUUCAGACCGCUAAUACAUUGUCUUCUGCUCCCCUUAUGCACCCUUUCCCAUCCCAGCAGUGCCAAGUAUUUCACACUGAACCCUCCUGAUAACCUAGAAAGGACCUGGAAGUUUUGCCAAACCGCUGCCAAACUACCCUCUGCCCCAACCAAAGUUUCUGCAGAGACUUUGACUCAAAGAUGAGAAGGGGCCCCCUUCAGAACUCUCCGAACAGUCUGGAGCAAAUCGAAACUCCGAGGCCAUAAAUCAAUGGGAGAAGUAUUUGGUACUGCUUCAGAGAAAUGCCUUAACGCCAGCAAGGCCCCAGCAGCGGCAUCUCAGUUCUAGCCAGGAGCCUCCAUGCCGCUAUUAACAGCCCAGUUAAUGCUCCAACUGCUGCUUAACAAUUAACAUUAACGACUUGGGUUGGAAUGGGGUGAUUUGGUGGGAUGUGAAGGGAAAAAUCUGAGGGAGUCACAGGAAAUGUAACUUUUGAGGUGAAAAUAGCUUCCCUAAGAGAGACCUGGGUCUGGGCAGGCCACCAGGGAACAGGCAGCUGAGAGUCCUCCCUCACCACUCUGAAAUCCACUCUCCUUGAGUGAGGCUAUGGGCCUUUUAAAGUUCCCUUCCAGAAAACAAGAAUCGGGAUGCCAAGCAUGUAGGCCCAGGCUGGGAAACCUAGCUGCCAGUCCCCUUCUUUCCACUUACUCUUCCAGGCCCCAAUCUGACCAGUGCUGGGGACACAUGUCCUGAAUCCAUUUCACAAGAACCAAAAUAGGUGGAAAGUUGCCUUGGAAGGAGCAGGUGAGCAAGGAUACAGAGCUUUGGUCAAUAUUUGCAAGGCUGUUGGCAGAUUAGAUAUAUCUGUAUUCAAACACUGCAAUCUGAUUUCUCUGUCAAAAAUACACUUCACAUUUUUUCCCCUUUAGUUAACUGUAGUGGUUUUGUUACUUAGCAUCAGGUAAGGCCUGCUUAGCACCCCCACUUUUUGGUGGAGGUUAGAGAUCAUUAUUUAACGUGAGAUAUUUUCUGUGGGUUCAGGUGCAGUACAAAUGGGCUCCAAAUUCUCUGGAUACAUACGGAUCUGUAUAUCAUUUUAUACACAUGGUCUAAAACUCCUGCAACUGUGUAUCCGUGCCAUGGUUCUGUUGUGCACAGAGAUGCAAAUCAUAGGCACACCCUGAGUUGCAAAUUCCUGAAACACUCCACCUACCUACACUUGAUAUAAAUGGUCAUACAGUAGCUGAGACAGUAACCCAGCUUUACUAUUACCCUGUUUACUUUCCAUCUGAUAAAAUAAUAAUUGUAUCCAGAACACCAGAUAAGCCUUCAGUAUUGCUGAAUAGCAUGUUGCAAUUAAUGAACAGCCUGCUGUCUAUUGGGGAGCAAAUUUUAGGGAAGACAGAGGCCUAGGGGAAUAGAAAACAGGAACUCAGAAAACUUCUUAAAAUAAAUAAUUCCUGAAAGAACAAAGCAAACCCAUUCCUUCAUACCAAGCUUCUGAAAGCUAUUCCGGCAGCCCCUCCCCCAAAUAGGCACGAAAUUUAUGGAUCUUUUACAAGUAGGAAAAGAAAACGCAGAGACCUGGAAGACCCGUGCUUUUCCCGUUGGAAGAACAGAGGAUCAGCCCGGCCAAAGGAACAGAGAAGACCCCGUUGUCUGCAUUGGAAAGGUAGUAAGUUUCCUCUCGCCAAGGAAAGGCAGAAGAGUAAGACAAACUGCAUAGCGGCGAGACAAGUUUCCUCCGCGCAGAUCUGUGCCUGACGGCCAUUCUCGAACUCACAG